CAAGAUUUAGUUUAUACACAACUAGAACACUUUGUUUACAUCAAAGAAGAGUCAAUCUUGA
rnacentral:tRNA from 1 species